rnacentral:rRNA from 1 species
CCUACGGGCGGCAGCAGUGGGGAAUAUUGGGCAAUGGAGGCAACUCUGACCCAGCAACGCCGCGUGAAUGAUGAAGGUCUUCGGAUUGUAAACUUCUUUUAAGGGGGAAGAGCAGAAGACGGUACCCCUUGAAUAAGCCACGGCUAACUACGUGCCAGCAGCCGCGGUAAUACGUAGGUGGCAAGCGUUGUCCGGAUUUACUGGGUGUAAAGGGCGUGCAGCCGGAGAGACAAGUCAGUUGUGAAAUCCACGGGCUCAACCCGUGAACUGCAUUUGACACUGUUUCCCUUGAGUGUCGGAGAGGUAAUCGGAAUUCCUAGUGUAGCGGUGAAAUGCGUAGAUAUUAGGAAGAACACCAGUGGCGAAGGCGGAUUACUGGACGAUAACUGACGGUGAGGCGCGAAAGCGUGGGGAGCAAACAGGAUUAGAUACCCGUGUAGUC